UUGAAAAUGGUAUCUUUUCCUUGAAAUGACAUUUUUUAAAUGAAACUUUCUUGACAUUUAUACAUACAGAAGAGUAUAAAACCAUGGGUUUAUUGCUCAAUAAAUUUUCUCUAAGUGAUCACAGACAAGUCCGGACCACUUGGAACAAGAAAUUAAACAUUGCCAGUGCCCCAAAAGCCCCCUCAGAGCCCCUCUCAGUCACAACCCCACAAAAAGUAAUCAUUAACCUAACUCCCAUCAGCAUCAACAUUUUGCCUAAUUUUGAAGUAUAUAGGCAGAACCAUAGAAUGCAUGCUCGUGUCUGUUAUCUUUUGCUUAAUUUACAUUUACGAGAUUUGUCCACAUUGCUGCAUUUAGCAGUACUCCCUUCUUAUUGCUGCGUCCUGUUCCCUUGUAUGAAGAUAGCACAUUUAUCUGUCCUAUUGUUGAUGGACAUUUCAUUGUUUCUAGUUUUUGGCUAUUACAAAUGGUACUACAAUGAAUAUUCUUAUACGUGCCUCUGGUUGCACAGAUACAUGCAAUGGGUGUAUAUCUAGGAGAGGAAUUGGUGGUUUGAGAGUGUCUGUGUGUUCUUAUUUGGUAAAUUCCAGCUGAAAGCUCUCCAGCGAGUUGUGGCAGUUUUCCCUCUCCUGAGAAGUGCCAGAGAGUUCCGGUUGCUCCGUGUCCUCACCAACACUUGGCAUCAUCAGUCACUUUAAGUUUUGUCAUUCUGAAACACAAGCCAAACACACUUAAAGAUCAGCCGCCAAGAAGGACAAGUAAGUCCCCAGCUCUCCCUACUUCUGAUUCUCCAGUCAUCCAUCCCUGGAGAUUCCUUCUCAGCGAGGAUGCCGUAAUCUUCAUCUCAGUGAGAUGUGCCCCUCUUCUCUGGAACAUUCCAGGGUUCUUUUUUUCUUUGUAGCUAAGUACAGAAUGACAUCCAGGCAAUUCCACUUCCAUCACCAAGAGGCCCUGUAAAGAGAAAGGGGCUGUUUUCCUGCUCUUGACUUUCCUUCCCACUGAAGUGCCUGGAAGCAGGUGUGUGGAUUGGGAGACAGGGUGGCCCAGAAGUGCUAGUACCGUGGACUCUGCAGGAGGACUCUGCAGUGAGGGGAGGGCUGCUCCUGAUUCAUCAGAGCAUCCCUCAUUGGCUUGUGCGUCAUCAGAUCUGCUUCCUAAGCCCUUCGUCUUCCUUGCUCGGUGAGUGGCAGACAGGGGCGGCAGGUGAGAUGAGUACAUUUUUAUUUGGGUCAACUCUGGUAAAAUUAAUUAAGGGCAAGCAAGGAGCUGGAGGUUGGUUUCAGAAAUCAAGAGUCUGCUAGAAUCAGACUCUUUUUCUGUGUUUUCAAUUCAUCAAAGGAGCUAUAAAAUCCCUGAGAUUUUGAGCUCUCCGGAUGAUUCUAACAAGAAGGCAGAGUUGAGAACCACUGGUCUACACCUACCAAAUAGGAAGCAUUCUAUUUAUUAAAAAGGCUUUUAAAGAUGUUUGAUAAAAGAGCAUUAAGUCAGUCUACAUGCUUUGAGCAUAUGCAAAUAGGUACUAUCUGGAACUCACUGCCAGCCAUGGAGCCAGUGUGCCAGAGAAGCAGCUGUUGCGGGCAGGGUCCCGGGCCCGCUCCUCCUGCUUCCCGAGAAUAUGUUCUUACAGGUGAACUCGCUGCAAGUGAGCUCUGGGCCGAAAGGGAGGAGAGAGGUCUCAGAAGAGCACUGAGCCAAGAGGCGUGGGGGAGCACAGGGCACUCGCCUCCUGCCUUUGACCCCCAGACCAUGGUGCUGAUUAUUGUGGGAUGAGCCUGUGUAUAUAAGCUGUAGGUCUUUCACAAGGAACCCAUUGGUUGGAACCCCGUAAUUUUCCCUUUCUGGGCUACCGCAGGGUAGGAAUUCAAAUGCAGAAAGAGAAACCUCAGAAUUUCACUCUUGCUUUCUUUGGCACUCCAAGUGACAUAUUAUCUUUACCCCCCUGAGCUUAAUGACGAAAGUCCAGCUAACUCUGAGAUCUUCUCUAGACCCCAGGGAAGCCAGGUACCAGUUAUCUCUUAAGGAGAAUGAGCCACCAUGUCACACGAAGCCACACAAGCUCUCGGUGCUGCUCUGCUGGAAGCAGGUCCCCCAGCCUCAGCCUCGAUGCCCAGAGGGCUCCGGACUGACGACCAGCAGCCAUGCCAGUCACCCCCGGCACAGGGCCACCUCCAGUGUGUCCGUGGCAGGCAGGAAACUGCAGGAAUCUGGUCUCCUCAUUCCUGGGCUCGGCUAUCUCAUCUGCUAUCUUUUUAUUGUUUAGAUAUAUUCGUGGUUUUCUUUCAUUCACUCACAUAAAUCAAGGAGGCCCAAAUGUUCCAGAUAACUCUAGAUAAAAUAAGCGUGGCAGCAAUUCAUACAAAGUAAGCCGUAGCGUAGUGUAGGAAACGCUCCCCACAGAGCAGCCGUGCGUCCCAGACAUGCGGGGAGGUUUCCAGUGUAUUUAGGAAGCCGGGCCCUGCACACGUGUAAUGUUAAACAUGAUGUAAAGGUUAACACCAGCCCGAGACCUUUCGCUCCUCAGAGGAAGUAGGAACCACUGAAAAUAUACACCUGAGCAGAAAUCAACUUGAUUUAUAAUAUCAACCCCAGACAUGUAUUUAGGAGUAUUACAAAGGAGCAACCAUACUUGUUUAAUAAAAAAUAUGCCCAAA